UACGGGGGGGGCAAGCGUUGUUCGGAAUUACUGGGCGUAAAGGGCUCGUAGGCGGCCAACUAAGUCAGACGUGAAAUCCCUCGGCUUAACCGGGGAACUGCGUCUGAUACUGGGGGGCUUGAGUAUGGGAGAGGGAUGUAGAAUUCCAGGUGUAGCGGUGAAAUGCGUAGAUAUCUGGAGGAAUACCGGUGGCGAAGGCGGCAUCCUGGACCAUAACUGACGCUGAGGCGCGAAAGCUAGGGGAGCAAACGGG
rnacentral:rRNA from 1 species